CUUUGAGCCACAGGCGCCACCCCAUGGCAGAUGAGCUGCUGGUCCCUUGAGGGUUUCUUACUCCAUUUAUGAAAAGUAGAAGAAACAACCUCAUGAAGAUGUAUUGAUAUAUAUCAGAGCACAAAUAACUGGAGGGAAAUUAUGUGACAGCAGACAGCCAAGGUGUGCUGACAGUGGUUCUCACCAAUCACAGAGCCAAGAAGAAGGAAUUCUUUUUUAUACAGGACAUCAGUCCAGGGAAGUUGCCUCUUUAUGGCAGUACCAAAUGAAAUUCAUGCAAUUUCCAAUAGAGCAGUGUUCCUGGGCCGUGGGUUAUUUGCAUCCAUGCUGGGGUACUCCCAAUUCUGAUCAUCCAAGGCCCGGUUUCGGUAAGGUAUCCAUGAGAAUUUGUACUUAUCGAAGGGGGAGAUGCCUUGUCUUCUUCAAUGUCCUCGUCCAGCAUAGCUCACACAAAUCCGCACAAGCACACGUGUUUCUACAAGUGUGUUACACAGUCAGACUCUGGGUGGGAGCUGUCCCCAGGUGGCCCUAGGCCUGGAGCAAUGAGAAGGGUGUCCUACAGGUGGCACCUUCUCCCCUCUCAUCUGCCCUAGCAAUGCCUUCAGCAGCAGCAGCUGCCAGGAUG